GUGUGGCUUGCCAGGGAAAUUCAGUCUUAUUCCAGCUGUGCAGGUGUGUGCCUGAGGAGUCUUCAUCUGCUGUUUGGGUCUGGAAGGCUGCUGCUCUGGUGUUAGUGAUCUCUAGUGCUUGUGAGACUGUCGAAGUCAAAACUGAGAUGAAAUGCUGUGAUUAAAAAUUGGGCUGUCUGUAACACCCUAGCAGGGCUGAGGGUGGCACUGGCUCUUACACCACUCCUCUGCCUGGCAGCAGGCAGCUCCAUGGGGAGCACAAAUGCCACUGGAAAGGAGGUGCUUGCCAAUGCUCUGGACCACUGCAGCUGUGGCCACCCACCUGUCCUGCAGGAGCUUGGACAGGAGGAAGAAGCCUCUGCCCUGUGGCCAGCAGGAGGAACAGCUGAAGCCAACCUUUGGUAUGUGUGGUGUUCAAGUGCUAAAAAAGACAGGGCUUCUAUUUUUCUCUUGUCCAGACUCCAACCCAAGGCUGACUAGCCAGGAUCCAUAUACAAAACCAGGAAAUACUUUAGUCAUGCUGUAUUUUCUCCCUUCUCCAAGACCCUUGCUCUCAGUUCAUGUUAGGUGAGAUAUGCUCCUCAUCAACACUUUAACCAGGACUGGAGGGUGCUUCAAAAGUAAUUGUGAUGGACAGCAGGGUGAGCCUCUUCUAGAGAAAGGAAGAAAGUGUGCAAGGAUGAGGGGAGUGUGGGGCCAGUGGUUUCAGUGCAUGCUUCCCUCUCUGGGAAGGACACACAACAGACUAAGGACACUGAAGGUACAGGUACAUGACAGGAGCAGCGUCUUUUCUAGGAUUGCCAAGCACUUCAGUGGUGGCUGCAGCAACAGAUUUCUUGGUUGUCCCAUAUGUAGAUAAACACUUCACACAGUAGGUAAUGAAAACCUGCAAUCUGCCACAGGAUGUCACAAAGAUAAGGUUAUGAACCUGCAGAUACCAGCUAAUGGAUACUUCCAUGGGCAAAUCCCAAGUUCAUAGGCUAAUGAGAGGUUUAGUCAGUGCGGUGUUUCCUAACUUCCAACAUCCAAUGAUUGUGAGCACUAGAGAGAGUUGGCUUGUGAAUGUACCCUAAGCAGACCCACAUGCCCCUUCAGAAAUAGAAUAUGGGGCUGUGUUCUCCAUGGCCUGACCCACCUGGAAGUUCUUACUUUCUUCGAUGUUGUCAGGCUGAUAGCUAGAAAUGCUCAGAGAACAAAACCAACGGAAUACACACACAUCCCCUCACCUAAAAAGUCUCCAAAGUUGAGAAUAAAGAAAACCCUUCCUUUGUUUCAUGAACAGCUGUCAUGUUUACUGCUAUGAACAGUCAGUAAGAAGCCAGCACUCAGUGCAGCACAUGGGAGGAGAUGGCAGCCUUUCCUGCCCAGGAUGCCCUGCACACUGAGCAGGACCAGCAGAGCUCAGAGCUGGGCUCUGCCUCUGGGCUUUGAGCUGCAGCCAGCAGGUGUGAGACUGACCCACCCUCCUGUACCUGAUUUCACCUGUGUAAGGAAGCUGUGAAGAGGUAAUUAGUUCCUACUUGUGCAAAAGGUAUUAUUGGUUCUUUACCUAAAGUGCAAGGGCUAGAGACAAAUCAGGCCUGGUGGACUCCCUGCUGUGCAUGUGGAGUGAGCUCUAAAAAUAGAUAUCAGCUGGUGAUGGAGCCACAGCUGUGGCUUUUGUGUGCCUGUGGAAAAGCAGCAUGGCUGAGGAACAGAGCCUGCUUAAAUGGCCUCCUAGCUGCUAGUCAUACAAUGUCCUCCUGGGAAGCCAUGGAUGCAUUCAUAUUUGGCUGUGUAGUCUCUGCCCCUGUACCAUGAAAUAAUCACUGGAUUACCCUGCCCUGACUGCAUGGGCCUUGGGGGAAGGAGGAAGUCACGCCUGGCAGACGGGGAAGACCAUGGGUUUUGCAACUGCUUUUCUUUGAAUUAGCAUCUGAAGACAGGAACUGGAAGCGAUACAGUCUCCAGAGCGCUGCGUAUGAGAGAACUCCCGCUCCGUUGGGUGUGAGGCUAAUAGGCCUUAUGUACAUAUGAGGUUUUUUUAAAAAGAAUCUAAAAAAAAACAUUAAUGACAGGCCAUUCCUGUUCCACAGAGUCACCUACUGCAUUGCAAAAGGUAUCUACAGGUAAAACUUUCAAGGAAGUUCUUUCUGAAGUAACUGGAAGCUUCCCAUAAUGGGUCACUCCAGAUAGUAUCUCUCCCAGGCCACUCUCAUGUAAUACUGGGAUUAUUCUGUUUGCCAGAGAAAAUUCUAACUUGUAUCAACAUCACUUCUUCAUGCUUUUUCUGCCAGUGAGGGCUAGUGAUCAGACUAGAAUAGUUUGCCAUGUAUAUUUUGCAUCCUUUUCCCAGCUGUGUGCUGCCAGUCAAAUGCUUUCUACCCAAAUGAAGAACAGAAAUAUUUGGUUUUAAGCAAUGUUUACUCAGAGGUUCCUUUCAAGGGCUCCAAAAUUACAACCAUGGAGUUGCCUCAAUGAGUCAUUUGGUGUUUUAAAGGGAUCCUCUGGGAGAACUGACAAUGUACAGUAAAAACAAAGGGCUGUUUCCUGGAGCCCAUCUCCACCAGCCCUUCUGCUUCUGUGAACACUGUGGCAUUAGGCUGCUUGCUAAUAUGCUGGGAAACUGCUUGACCAUCCCAGAGAAAAGAAACAGCAGGGUGUUCAUGGUGGGCAGCCAGAGGCCCCACGCAGUGCUGGAAGCAGGAGGAAUGAUGUGCUGCUGCAGUUUGACUCUGCUUCACCUGCUGCUUGUUGCCUAGAUGGACAAAGCAGGACUCAGGCUGUGUCAGACUCCAAAAAGGCAGAUAGUGGUCGUUCAGUGUGAAAUUUUUAUAACCCCUUGCUCAGUUUUGUUCUACACCAGAAGCUGAAUGACUAAACUCCUUCAGGACUGAAGACACCACCACUCCCUUCUUGCUCAGAGAAUUAAUCUCCAUGAGCAAAGUCACAGGCCUCUAAUAUAAAAAAGAGCGUUGAUCCAAGCAGCACAGGUAAUAAGGCACAGAAUCACAGAAGGCUGGAAAAGACCUUUAAGAUCAUUUGGUCCAACCAUAAACCCAGCACUGCCAAGUCCACCACUAAGCCAUCUCCCUAAGCACACACAAGUAAACCCACUUGCUCUUCUUACAGGUAAACAUGGUAUUUUGCUUUUGUAACAAGAAGCCCUGGUCACAAAGCAGAUGAUAUCCUCACACCAUGGAGCCUGGAACUUACAUGGAAGAGAAGCUUGCUCAUACCCAGUACUUGCAGAGAGAGUCUCCCCCACUCUGCAUACAGGAGUUUCAUGCAACUGCAGUUACUCUUGUAGCUCAUCUUUAGAGGCCUUUCCCAUUUUUCAAAAAAUCCUGACAUACCAGAUGCUGUAUGGAAGAUUUACAGUACUACAAGGCCACUGGUUUUAUUUAUUAUGCUGUGAUACAAUCCUAAAAAGCUACACUAAAGCUAGAUGGGCCACAUGAAGGAAGCCAGUUUCACUCAGCACUGCAGGACUUUUUGUAUCAUCUAGACACUUUUGUGCUUUCCCAGACCCAAAGCAGUGGUCAAGCAGGGUAACGCCUUUAUUUGGUUGAAACAAAACCCUGCUCUGGGUGUGUCUAGCUUUUGUCAAAGAAAGUGAGAGGUUAAAGCACAAAACGCUUGAUUCUGGGUAUUCAUGAGUUCAGUCUGCCUGCAAGUGCAACCGUGGACAGAAGACCUGAGACGUCUGCAGGGCUGUGUUUAGCAGUGCACUCUACUUAAGGUAGCAUUUAUUUUCCAAAUAAAAAUGCAUCAGAUGCUUUUA